AUUUGUUCGCAGUGGUGUGUUUAAAGGAAUUCUUGAAUCUUUAUACACAAGAGGAAACUUACGUGAUACAAAUCACGAAAAAGAAAACUGUGGAAACUAUCGGUAGAAAUUCAAAAUCUGAUGUCCGAAAGUUGUGAAGAUAACAACGUCGUUACCUUGGGGAAUCUACAGCAAUAUCUGAUGUCAAUUUCAUCAACUGGGCAUAUUUGACGUAAAAUCACUGGAAAAAACCAAAGAAGGGAAAAAUGAGUAUAAAAAAUACAAUACAUAAUGAGUGGAGUGAUUACAAUAUUGAUAAAUUCAAACGAAAAAAGUAUUGAUAGAUUGUGGGGACAAAUAACAAGGAAUAUGGCUGUGGAAAUAGAUUGAGGACAGGUUUUAUUGUUAAAUGAACUUACAAGCUUGAAGUUGAAAAAGAAAGAUACCAUAGAUGAGUAUAUGAUUAAAACUGAUUGAAAAAACCAGUAUAUUUAGCUAAGACAAGCAGUUCAAUAGUACGAGUUAAAAACAUAAAUAUUAAAUGACCUGAAGACAGAAUUUAAUGUAAGAAUAAUCAAGAGCAAGGAAAAUAGCACUAUAAAUGAAAUCCAGUAUAUGUUGAGACAGGGGGAACUAAGACAAGAAGAAAGGAAGGGUGAGAAACAAACAAGAGACAAUGAAAGUGUGAGAAAAGCAUGGCAAAGGACAAAGAUACACAGAAAGUGUUACGAGGUUUGCAAAGAUGGGAUAUAUAGCAAGUGAGCGUUAGGUAAAAUAAGGUGCUAUAAAUGUGAGGGAUUUGAACAUAUGGUAGUAGAUUGUAAACAUCAUACAAGUAAUAGGCUAAUGACUAAAAGAGGUUGAAGAAGAAAUCAAUAUAUGAGAGGACAUGGACAUGAUUCUGGAUAUUUAUGAGACAGGGGACAUAAAAGAGGCAAAAGAAAGACAAUGAUGAGGGUCAGAGAAGAAGUAGUAAUGCUAGGUCAUGAUCAGCUGAUAAUGGAAGAUAUAUAGAAUGAAAAGCGAAAACGAGUAACUAAUACAAAUAAGAAACGUAUGAUACGGCUGUUGGAUUCUGGGUCAACUAGCCACAUGACAUACAAAACAGAAACAUUUGAUGAUGAAAUAAAGGCCGAGGAAAGGGAGAUUGACUUGUCAGAUAAAAAGAGAAUAAAAUUAAUUAGGUCAUGAUCAGCUGAUAAUGGAAGAUAUAUAGAAUGAAAAGCGAGAACGAGUAAUUAAUACAAAUAAGAAACGUAUGAUACGGCUGUUGUAUUCUGGGUCAACUAGCCACAUGACAUACAAGAC